rnacentral:misc_RNA from 1 species
CGGUUGCGGCUCUGGUGUUCACUUUUGGUUCUUGUGUUGCCUACCCGUUUAGCGGUAUUCACGUGCCUCUUAAGACCCGUUCCAUCCAGACCCCUUCUAGGGGCUGCUGGGGGAUUCCAAAGUGAUGCGUGUUUUGCGUUAGCUAUGCGUUGUAACGGCUAGCGUGCUCACAUGCGUCUAUUUUUCCCUUGGAUGCGGUGCAUGCGGUGAACGUGGGCUGACUAUUGUGCCCCGUUGAGUCCCUUCGAUUUAUCGGUUGCCUUGAAUGACACUUUGCCGCCGUAGUGCUGGUCUUGCUUUACCAUUCUUGGGGGCAACACUUGCACUUCGAGCAGAGUUGUUGACGG